rnacentral:rRNA from 1 species
UGGUGGAGUGAUUUGUCUGGUUAAUUCCGUUAACGAACGAGACCUUAGCCUACUAACUAGUCGUACCAAUCUCGAUUGGCAUCGACUUCUUAGAGGGACUUUGUGGGCCAAACACAAGGAAGUUUGAGGCAAUAACA